rnacentral:rRNA from 1 species
UACGAAGGGGGCUAGCGUUGUUCGGAAUCACUGGGCGUAAAGGGCGCGUAGGCGGCCGAUCAAGUCGGGGGUGAAAGCCUGUGGCUUAACCACAGAAUGGCCUUCGAUACUGUUUGGCUUGAGACCGGAAGAGGUUAGUGGAACUGCGAGUGUAGAGGUGAAAUUCGUAGAUAUUCGCAAGAACACCAGUGGCGAAGGCGGCUCACUGGCCCGAUACUGACGCUGAGGCACGAAAGCGUGGGGAGCAAACAGG